rnacentral:rRNA from 1 species
GCAGCCGCGGUAAUACGUAGGGGGCAAGCGUUAUCCGGAUUUACUGGGUGUAAAGGGAGCGUAGACGGACGGGCAAGUCUGAAGUGAAAGGCAGGGGCUCAACCCCUGGACUGCUUUGGAAACUGUCCAUCUAGAGUGCCGGAGAGGUAAGCGGAAUUCCUAGUGUAGCGGUGAAAUGCGUAGAUAUUAGGAGGAACACCAGUGGCGAAGGCGGCUUACUGGACGGUAACUGACGUUGAGGCUCGAAAGCGUGGGGAGCAAACAGGAUUAGAUACCCC